rnacentral:rRNA from 1 species
UUCCGGUUGAUCCUGCCGGAGGCUACCGCUAUUGGAGUUCGAUUAAGCCAUGCGAGUCGCGAGAAAUUAGAUUCUCGGCGUACCGCUCAGUAACACGUGGGUAACCUGCCCUAUGCUGGAUAAUAACCUCGGGAAACUGAGAAUAAUGAUCCAUAGUUCACUACGCCUGGAACGGUGAGUGGAUGAAAGCUCCGGCGGCAUAGGAUGGGCCUGCGGCGUAUCAGGUUGUAGGGGGUGUAACGUACCCUCUAGCCCUCUACGCGUACGGGUGUUGGGAGACAUAGCCCGGAGAUGGAUUCUGAGACACGAAUCCAGACCCUACGGGGUGCAGCAGGCGCGAAAACUUGGCAAUGCGAGAAAUCGUGACCAGGGAACUCCAAGUGCAUCGGGUAAGACCGGUGCUUUUCUUGACUCUAAAUAGGUCUUGGAAUAAGGGGUGGGUAAGGACGGUGCCAGCCGCCGCGGUAAUACCGGCGCCUCAAGUGGUAGUCGCUUUUAUUGGGCCUAAAACGUCCGUAGCCGGUCUGAUACAUUCGUGGGUAAAUCAACCAGCUUAACUGGUUGAAUUCUGCGAGGACGGUCAGACUUGGGACCGGGAGAGGUGUGGGGUACGCUCAGGGUAGGGGUAAAAUCCUGUCAUCCUGAGCGGACCACCUGUUGCGAAGGCGCCACACUAGAACGGAUCCGACGGUCAGGGACGAAGCCUAGGGGCACGAACCGGAUUAGAUACCCGGGUAGUCCUAGGUGUAAACGCUGUGGACUUGAUGUUGGGGGUGCUCCGAGCACUCUCAGUGUCGAAGCGAAGGUGAUAAGUCCACUGCCUGGGAAGUACGGUCGCAAGGCUGAAACUUAAAGGAAUUGGCGGGGGAGCACCGCAACCUGAGGAUUGUGCGGUUUAAUUGGAGUCAACGCCGG